AACAUCAUCGCAGGUCCACCCUUUGCAAAGUUUGUCUACCGCUCUAUAGUAGACUGACGGAAGGUUUACCAGUGGUAUAAGCGUAGAUUAACCGACAGGAGCACGUUUCUGGGCGCCCGAUGUUGAAUCAGUGACACAUUGGGAAUCAGUUGUGACUAAAUUU
rnacentral:snoRNA from 1 species